UACGUAGGGUGCAAGCGUUGUCCGGAAUUACUGGGCGUAAAGAGCUCGUAGGCGGUUUGUCGCGUCGUCUGUGAAAUCCCGCAGCUCAACUGCGGGCUUGCAGGCGAUACGGGCAGACUUGAGUACUGCAGGGGAGACUGGAAUUCCUGGUGUAGCGGUGAAAUGCGCAGAUAUCAGGAGGAACACCCGUGGCUAAGGCGGCUCUCUAGUACGGUACUGACGCUGAGACGCGAAAGCGUGGGGAGCGAACAGG
rnacentral:rRNA from 1 species